rnacentral:rRNA from 1 species
AUUCCAGCUCCAAUAGCGUAUAUUAAAGUUGUUGCGGUUAAAAAGCUCGUAGUUGGAGUUCUGCCAGGUGCCACCUGUCCGCCCCAGUGGUGAGUACGUGGUGCGCAUUUGGCCCUUUCAAGGGGAGCGUAUUUGCACUUAAUUGUGUGGUGCGGGAUCCUUGACUUUUACUUUGAGGAAAUAAGAGUGUUCCAAGCAGGCUCUCGUCGUGCAUAGCUCAGCAUGGAAUAAUAGCAUUGGACCUCGAUUCUAAGCUGUUGGUUGCCAGAAGCGAGGUAAUGAUUAAGAGGGACAGUUGGGGGUAUUCGUAUUUAAUUGUCAGAGGUGAAAUUCUUGGAUUUAUGAAAGACGAACUACUGCGAAAGCAUUUACCAAGGAUGUUUUCAUCG